CGGCCGCAGGGCAUGCUGGGAGGGAUCCGAUCGGAUCCCUCACACAGCGCCGCGGAGAGAAGUCCAUAGGCUUCUAUGGACGUACGCUGGCGUACCCCGCCGCGGUGCUGUCCUGCCGGCCGGGGGUUAGUACAUUAGGAAAAUGCGGUAAACAGGGAGUUUACCGCAGUUUCCGCUUAGUACAUCCCGCCCUGAGUGACUUGCUGAAGCUCUGAGCAUGCUCACUGCAUUCAUAUGGCUUUUGGGCUGCACAGACAGCAGCCCCUAGAAGCACUGUAGGUCUGGCGAUUCAGCAUAGAAUAACUUCCAAUUGGAAGCAAUUACUGCAAAUCGCUCUUUGUACCAACAGUCCAAGGAGGGGGGGAGUUUCCAGCCCUGUGCAUGAUGAGCAGUAGCAGCAUCCAAUAGGAAGCAGCUACAUGCUAAACUCCUCACAGGAUUGGCCUGUCGCCUGCUCCCUGCUGCUUGUGUCUGCCUGCCCUACUGCUGCACUGAAAGGAGAGGACCCAGCGACAUCAUACUUUCCGGUGAGGAAGGAGGGGGUGCGACCACAACCGCUGGACCUCAGAUACCUGGAUCACUGGCCCCAAGAAGGGUGACCGGCAUAAAAGGCAGGCAAAUCACCCCUGAGGAAGUCCCAUACAGGUGGUAAAGAGACGAAACGCGUUGGCUCAUCUACCGCUACCUCUCCUAAUGAUACAUGACACCAGAGUUUCUUCCCUACUGGGAAUUUGGAUUUUAAGGUGACGUUCUGAACCAUCCCGUGGAUCUCUAAGCAGAACAUCCUGACAAGUAUCUUAUUGAAUGAGUUGGAUAUCCAGUAGAUUCCGGAAUUAUACCCACUCGCCAAACGUCACCCGAAAGAAAGGCCCAGUGACCACUUAUUAGUAGAAAUCUGGAUGUUUUUUUAUGUUAGAUAAAAAUAUCAGCAGAUAAAAUAAGUUGCACAUUUAAAAAGGUGUCAUAGUAUCGCCACUUUAGAAGAGAUGGAAGUGCUCCGUGUCACCACCCUUACGGGUGUGAGCUCAGGGACUUCGGUAAUGGCAGAUAGGCACGACACCCCCCAAGCCCUACGCGUUUCAUCCCUUACACGGGAGUUCUUAAGGGGUAAUGAUCACAAUCACAAUUGCAUGAUAAGAAGACAGCAAUAUCACACUGACUGAUUUAUCGGAUAGAAAUGCAACACUCUUUAGUUCAUCUGUAGCCAAAAUCACAGGUGUACACGAAGAAGACAGCAAUAUCACAUUGACUGAUUCACAGGAAAGCAAAGCCGCACUCUUUGGUUCAGCUGUAGCUUCCAAUAAACUCCACUCUACUUGUUCUGGUACACAGAUUGCUACUCUCCUGCUGCAAUUAUCUUUUAUAUUAUAGAUACAGUAUAUAGCAA